rnacentral:rRNA from 1 species
UGGAUGAGUGGCGAACGGGUGAGUAACACGUGGGUAAUCUGCCUUGUACUCUGGGAUAAGCCCGGGAAACUGGGUCUAAUACCGGAUAGGACCAUUCCUCGCAUGGGGGGUGGUGGAAAGCUCCGGCGGUAUGAGUUGAGCCCGCGGCCUAUCAGCUUGUUGGUGGGGUGAUGGCCUACCAAGGCGGUGACGGGUAGCCGGCCUGAGAGGGUGACCGGCCACACUGGGACUGAGACACGGCCCAGACUCCUACGGGAGGCAGCAGUGGGGAAUAUUGCACAAUGGGCGCAAGCCUGAUGCAGCGACGCCGCGUGAGGGAUGACGGCCUUCGGGUUGUAAACCUCUUUCGCCAGGGACGAAGGGUGAUACUGACGGUACCUGGAGAAGAAGCACCGGCUAACUACGUGCCAGCAGCCGCGGUAAUACGUAGGGUGCAAGCGUUGUCCGGAAUUAUUGGGCGUAAAGAGCUCGUAGGCGGUGUGUCGCGUCUGCCGUGGAAACCUACAGCUUAACUGUGGGCGUGCGGUGGAUACGGGCAUCACUUGAGUUCGGCAGGGGAGACUGGAAUUCCUGGUGUAGCGGUGGAAUGCGCAGAUAUCAGGAGGAACACCGGUGGCGAAGGCGGGUCUCUGGGCCGAUACUGACGCUGAGGAGCGAAAGCGUGGGGAGCGAACAGGAUUAGAUACCCUGGUAGUCCACGCUGUAAACGUU